AAGUCGUAACAAGGUAUCCGUAGGUGAACCUGCGGAUGGAUCAUUACCAAUUUUAUAUGUUAGUUUGCGCAUCUCUGUCAAAGGGGGUGUUGCAUAACUACUAUGUAAACGUUGAACUAGAUCAAUUGGUGUGGAUUGCUUGGGAAUGGACGAAGCGACAAGCCUCUUCCGGACAGGCAAGCCCCACACUGAUGCCCUUUUUCAAAUCAUUUACUCGUAUAUACUACAAACAAACAAACAAACAAAAGCUAUAAUAGGACUUAUUAACGGUCGAGUGGGUAACAUCCUCGGCUUAAACAUAUAACUAUUACAACUUUCAGCAAUGGAUCUCUAGGCUCUC
rnacentral:misc_RNA from 1 species